rnacentral:tRNA from 2 species
UAACUCAAUGGUAGAGUACUCGGCUUUUAACCGAAUAGUUCUGGGUUCGAGUCCCA